UACGUAGGGCGCAAGCGUUAUCCGGAAUUAUUGGGCGUAAAGAGCUCGUAGGCGGUCUGUCGCGUCUGCUGUGAAAACUCAGGGCUUAACCCUGAGCUUGCAGUGGGUACGGGCAGACUAGAGUGCGGUAGGGGAGACUGGAAUUCCUGGUGUAGCGGUGAAAUGCGCAGAUAUCAGGAGGAACACCGGUGGCGAAGGCGGGUCUCUGGGCCGUAACUGACG
rnacentral:rRNA from 1 species